GACGAACGCUGGCGGCGUGCCUAAUACAUGCAAGUUGAGCGCUGACGGUUGGUAGUUUUCCCAACUGGUUGAGCGGCGCACGGGUGAGUAACGCGUCGGGAAUCUGCCUUUGAGCGGGGGACAACCUAUUGAAACGAAUGCUAAUACCGCAUAAAAGCUUUAAACACAAGUUUUAAGAUUUAAAGAUGCAUUUGCAUCACUCAAAGAUGAUCCCGCGUUGUAUUAGCUAGUUGGUGAGGGAAAGGCUCACCAAGGCGAUGAUACAUAGCCGACGUGAGAAGGUGAUCGGCCAACUUGGGAAUGAGACAAGGCCCAAACCCCCAAGGGAGGCAGCAGGAGGGGAACUUUGGCAAUGGAGGAAAGGCUGAACGAGCAAAGCCGCGGGAGUGGAGAAGGUUUUCCGAUCGUAAAAGUCUGUUGGGCGAGAAGAAAGUUAGUGAGAGUGGAACGCUCAUCAAGUGACGGUAACUACACAGAAAGGGACGGCUAACUACGUG
rnacentral:rRNA from 1 species